CCCUUAGAUGUUCUGGGCCGCACGCGCGCUACACUGACGAAGUCAGCGAGCAUGUCCUACGCCGACAGGUGCGGGGAAUCUUGUCAAACUUCGUCGUGAUGGGGAUUGAUUAUUGAAAUUCUUGAUCAUCAACGAGGAAUUCCUAGUAAGCGCAAGUCAGCAGCUUGCGUUGAUUACGUCCCUGCCCUUUGUACACACCGCCCGUCGCUACUACCGAUUGAGUGAUCCGGUGAAUAAUUCGGACCGAUGCAGUGCUCAGCUUCUGAACUUUGCAUUGGAAAGUUUAGUGAACCUUAUCACUUAGAGGAAGGAGAAGUCGUAACA
rnacentral:rRNA from 1 species